rnacentral:rRNA from 1 species
UACGUAGGGUGCAAGCGGUAAUCGGAAUUACUGGGCGUAAAGCGUGCGCAGGCGGUUAUGCAAGACAGAUGUGAAAUCCCCGGGCUCAACCUGGGAACUGCAUUUGUGACUGCAUGGCUAGAGUACGGUAGAGGGGGAUGGAAUUCCGCGUGUAGCAGUGAAAUGCGUAGAUAUGCGGAGGAACACCGAUGGCGAAGGCAAUCCCCUGGACCUGUACUGACGCUCAUGCACGAAAGCGUGGGGAGCAAACAGG